AAACCAACAGGGAUUGCCUCAGUAACGGCGAGUGAAGCGGCAACAGCUCAAAUUUGAAAUCUGAGGUCUUCGACUUCCGAGUUGUAAUUUGAAGAGGAUGUUUCGGUUGGGACCUGGGCCUAAGUUCCUUGGAACAGGACGUCGUAGAGGGUGAGAAUCCCGUACACGGCUGCCGGUCUCCUUCCAUGUGAAGCUCCCUCGAAGAGUCGAGUUGUUUGGGAAUGCAGCUCAAAAUGGGUGGUAAAUUUCAUCUAAAGCUAAAUAUUGGCGAGAGACCGAUAGCGCACAAGUAGAGUGAUCGAAAGAUGAAAAGCACUUUGAAAAGAGAGUUAAACAGUACGUGAAAUUGUUGAAAGGGAAGCGCUUGCAAUCAGACUUGCCUGCGGUUGAUCAACGUUCCUUUUGGUUCGUGCACUCUGCCGUUGUGCAGGCCAGCAUCAGUUGGUGCGGUGGGACAAAGGUUUUGGGAAUGUGGCACCCCUCGGGGUGUGUUAUAGCCCAUUUCGUAAUGCCACCAGCGCCGAUUGAGGUCCGCGGUUCGUCCUAGGAUGCUGGCUUAAUGGUUGUAAGCGACCCGUCUUGAAACACGGACCAAGGAGUCUAACAUCUAUGCGAGUCUUUGGGUGUCAAACCCAUGGGCGAAAUGAAAGUGAACGGAGGUGGGAGUCCUUUGGAUGCACCAUCGACCGAUCCUGAUGUUCUCGGAUGGAUUUGAGUAGGAGCAUAGCUGUUGGGACCCGAAAGAUGGUGAACUAUGCCUGAAUAGGGUGAAGCCAGAGGAAACUCUGGUGGAGGCUCGCAGCGGUUCUGACGUGCAAAUCGAUCGUCAAAUUUGGGUAUAGGGGCGAAAGACUAAUCGAACCAUCUAGUAGCU
rnacentral:rRNA from 2 species